AGUUGGCACUAUCAGACUUGUUACAAGGGUGUUCUAACAAGUCUGAUACAGUCAUGAUGUAACAAUAAUGUGACAAGGUUGUAACAAUAUUGUUAUAUCAUGUCUGUAUUGGUCUUGUUUGGAACAACCUUGUAACAAGUCUGAUAAUGUCAACA